UACGAAGGGAGCGAGCGUUGUUCGGAAUCACUGGGCUUAAAGCGUGCGUAGGCGGAUAUGUAAGUAAGAAGUGAAAUCUCUGGGCUUAACCCAGGAACUGCUUUUUAGACUGCAUGUCUUGAAUUCGGUAGAGGUUAGUGGAAUAUCCAGUGUAGAGGUGAAAUUCGCAGAUAUUGGAUGGAACACCAGUGGCGAAGGCGACUAACUGGACCGACAUUGACGCUGAGGCACGAAAGCGUGGGUAGCAAACAGG
rnacentral:rRNA from 1 species